GGAUGGCAGACAAUCAGGCUCUGCUAAAUGUUUUGGCCUGAAAUUUAAUGAAAACCACAUUUCAACUCAAAAUAUGCUUUACGUGGCAGUGUAUAAAAUCCAGUUUAUUGCUGUCUGCUUAAAUGCUGAACUCUACAGAACAAAAAUGCCUCAGGAUGAUAUAGGUUCUUGGCUACCAGAAGUGAAAUCAAGGGGGCAUGAAGACCAAUCCUACCUAUGUGUAACGCUACAUCUUCUUUAGACCAUCAAAUUCCUGUAUUAUAAUGACACAUGUAUGCAGAACAUUUCUGUCCACAAAUAUAGCCCUGCUCAACACCUCUGGUAAGCUGUUCAAUUUGUCUCCUGUACAGAAUUUUAUAGCUUUUUUAUUUUUGAUUUAAAGAAUUUUCUUUUUUCUAAUUACUUUAUAGAAACCAAGAAACAGAAAACAUAGAUGAAAGGGGAAAGUAUGAGAUAAAGAGACAGAAAGGAAAAAAAGAGGGAAUAAAACAUACACGGAAAAAUAAUAUUUAGGAAAACCAGAAGCAGCAAUAAGAAAGUAGGUGCUAAAAUACAGGGCUGAAGGAAAUAAAAAAUUAGAUAGAUUUGACAUAAUAGAGAGUGGCUUAAAUUCUGCUCUCAGUUAUGAUCAGUGAAAAUCCAGAUUAAGUUAACAGGUUUCAAUUAGAGACACUUGCAUUUAUGUGAAUGUAACGGCAAAACAGAAUUUGUUUCAGCAUUUUUUUUAAUGAUCUAUAUUGCAAAACUAAUAACAAAACUGUAAACUAAACAUAAAAAUAAUAUAAUAAUAGAAAGCUGCUUAAAGUUUAAUGUAGUGGAAGAAAAGGGACGAAUCAUCUAUAAAGCCUAAACGAGCUCCUAAAACUAUGGGAAAAGGCUAAUUGACUUAAGAAGGGUCUAACAGGCAUGUUCUCCUAGGGUAGGAAAAAAAAUAGCCUGAUGCCCAGUGCUGCCGUGGGAUUUUCAUAUGUGUUAUUAAAUAUGUCUGUAUACAAUCUAUUCUCAUUCAUAUUUGUUUAUGUCUCCAGCUGAUAAAGUUGCUUUUGUUAUUUACAGUACUUCAUCUGGUACUUAAAUCUGUAGGCAGCUUUAUAUCUUUUUUUAAAGAAAGAGUUGUAUGUUUCUACUUUCUCUUUAUACAAAUACACGUCUACUGGAAACAAUGGGUAUGGAGCAGUGACUGUAAACUGGUGGAUUUUAGUUUUUUAUCAAUUUAAAGGUUACAGCCUGACUGUGGAAGGCUGAUGUGAAAACCUAUAGAAGCUGUUCAA